rnacentral:rRNA from 1 species
UGCGUAGGCGGUUUACUAAGUCAGAUGUGAAAGCCCCGGGCUUAACCUGGGAACUGCAUUUGAUACUGGUAGGCUAGAGUAUGAUAGAGGGGGGGUAGAAUUCCUGGUGUAGCGGUGAAAUGCGUAGAUAUCAGGAGGAAUACCAGUGGCGAAGGCGGCCCCCUGGAUCAAUACUGACGCUGAGGUACGAAAGCGUGGGUAGCGAACA